AUUGAACGCUGGCGGCAGGCCUAACACAUGCAAGUCGAGCGGCAGCGGAAAGUAGCUUGCUACUUUGCCGGCGAGCGGCGGACGGGUGAGUAAUGUCUGGGAAACUGCCUGAUGGAGGGGGAUAACUACUGGAAACGGUAGCUAAUACCGCAUGACCUCGAAAGAGCAAAGUGGGGGAUCUUCGGACCUCACGCCAUCGGAUGUGCCCAGAUGGGAUUAGCUAGUAGGUGAGGUAAUGGCUCACCUAGGCGACGAUCCCUAGCUGGUCUGAGAGGAUGACCAGCCACACUGGAACUGAGACACGGUCCAGACUCCUACGGGAGGCAGCAGUGGGGAAUAUUGCACAAUGGGCGCAAGCCUGAUGCAGCCAUGCCGCGUGUGUGAAGAAGGCCUUAGGGUUGUAAAGCACUUUCAGCGAGGAGGAAGGCAUCACACUUAAUACGUGUGGUGAUUGACGUUACUCGCAGAAGAAGCACCGGCUAACUCCGUGCCAGCAGCCGCGGUAAUACGGAGGGUGCAAGCGUUAAUCGGAAUUACUGGGCGUAAAGCGCACGCAGGCGGUUUGUUAAGUCAGAUGUGAAAUCCCCGCGCUUAACGUGGGAACUGCAUUUGAAACUGGCAAGCUAGAGUCUUGUAGAGGGGGGUCGAAUUCCAGGUGUAGCGGUGAAAUGCGUAGAGAUCUGGAGGAAUACCGGUGGCGAAGGCGGCCCCCUGGACAAAGACUGACGCUCAGGUGCGAAAGCGUGGGGAGCAAACAGG
rnacentral:rRNA from 1 species